rnacentral:rRNA from 1 species
CGGGCCGCAGCAGUGGGGAAUUUUGGACAAUGGGCGCAAGCCUGAUCCAGCAAUGCCGCGUGAGUGAAGAAGGCCUUCGGGUUGUAAAGCUCUUUUGUCAGGGAAGAAACGGUGUUCUCUAAUACAGGGCACUAAUGACGGUACCUGAAGAAUAAGCACCGGCUAACUACGUGCCAGCAGCCGCGGUAAUACGUAGGGUGCAAGCGUUAAUCGGAAUUACUGGGCGUAAAGCGUGCGCAGGCGGUUUGGUAAGACGGAUGUGAAAUCCCUGGGCUCAACCUAGGAAUUGCAUUCGUGACUGCCCGGCUAGAGUGUGUCAGAGGGGGGUAGAAUUCCACGUGUAGCAGUGAAAUGCGUAGAUAUGUGGAGGAAUACCGAUGGCGAAGGCAGCCCCCUGGGAUAACACUGACGCUCAUGCACGAAAGCGUGGGGAGCAAACAGGAUUAGAUACCCGAGU